CUUUCUAAUUCUAUUUUUUUUUCAUUUCAUAAAACAAAACUUUUCUCUCUCCCCGACAGACCUGAAUUUUCCAUCUCUUCACUCCACCGUCUCCAUGUCUCCUCCCACCGCCGAGUCGCCAUUCAAUGAAUUUGCUCCACCGCCGAGUCGCCGGCCACCUCCCACCACCACCAUGUUUUUUGCUCCUGUCAUCGAGAUGUCGUGGAUCGAUUGAGCUCCAAAUUAAAGAACAUUGAAGUGAUGAUCACCACUCUCGGAGAUUCGGGCCACCGGAAUCAGGGUCUUGAAGUUUCUGAAACCCAUUUGAAGAAAGUUGAGAACUUUGGCCUUGUCUUGCUCAGUUGCUAUCUGGGUUUUUUUCUCUCGCCAAAUCAAGGGAUCAAGCAGAGGUAGCGAAUUGGGGAAAAGAGGAGAGACUGCAAUUCUGUUGCCCAAGGCUGAAAGGUUGGUGGGGAUUUGGGUGGAGUUUGCUUGGUCUACAUACCUGUGGGAUUUUGAUUUCUUCUAUCUUUUUGCGAUUUGGCUCAAGAUCACUUGCUAGAUGGUUUGAGCUGCCUCAGCGGGGCUUUGCAGUCACCAGAGGAACAAGAGAGCCAUACCCUUUUCAACUUUCUCGUAACAAACAAAAAAAAAAAAAGCUUUUCAACUUUCAGAGAUAUGAGACAAACUCAUAAUAAUGAGGGAGGAGCAUGAUGGGUCUAUUUUGAUUUGGGCAAUGCAUGAUAUUGCUAUCCUUGGAAUAAAUUAAAUGAAAUUAUUGAUUUACAAGUAGUUGAGCAUAUCUGGGAGGGACAUGCAGUUGUAGUUUUUUUUUUUUUUUUUUUUUUUUUUUUUUUUUUUUUUCUGUUUUUAAUCUGUCGAAUUGUCUAAUAAUGAAUAAUUGGGAUGCAUUUGGAGUUCUGGGUGCAUAUGGUAUAUUUGAUUACAAAUACACAAUCUUUUAGUAUGUCAAAAAUUGGUAUGCAAUGUAUUGUCUCGAUUUUUGAUUCUGCAAUGGUUGAUGGCCGGCUAAAGUCUAUGCCUUUGUUUCAUUUCUACUAGUUUAUUAGUUGUCCAUUUCACUUGGGUAUGCCCUGUACCUGUUUUCUUUUCACUAGGUAACAUAUCACUAUAUGGAGGCAUGAACGUUAGCACUAGUUAUGUUCACCAAAAGAAUAUGCUUGCUUGCUCAAUCACAAGAGAUUCAACAAUUGAAAGAGAUGGUUGGAGCUAUUUUGGCACGGACAGAGAAAGGGGGGAAUAACCAUGGAAGUACCAGUGGUCAACAUUCUGGUAAUCAGCUUUCACAACAAAAAGAUAAGGAAAAUACAAGUGUGAGCGUGCGAAAUUCUGAAACUGAGAGACCACAAAGCAGGCACAGUAAACAAAAGAACUCAAGUGUUCAACAUUCUGUUGAUGAGGGGUUGAAGAGCAUAGAAAAGGAAGGUGCAAGGACCAAGGGUAUUAAGAAUGAUCAUAAUAGAAUUGAGUUAUUAAAUUGGUUUCAGAUGGGAGAAGAGGUUGUUGCAAGUGCAAAACUUGAGUCAAAGGAUCCAAGUGCAAUGGUCCAUCACGUGCCUCUUGGCCACGAAUGUUGGAAAGUUUGGGUUCUUGAUGUUUUUGAGGAUAUAGCUUUGUAUCGACCAACCAGUGAGUUUGGAAAACUGAGUAUGGCUCAAGGAAGUACAAUUGCAUGGCCUAUCAAAUACAUCAAAUUGGUUUAGCUAGUCUUGAAACUUUGAGGGACUUCCAGUUUUUGAAGUAUAUAUUAACGAACUCCGACUGAUGAUAAAUUUCUUAGAGAGAUAGUCGAGAGAUUCCGCAUUUGGUAGUUGUUCAAAAGAUGAUGCGGUAUAUUUUGUAAUGCUAUAUUCUUAAACUCAAGUUUGCUACUAAUUGUACUUAGUUUGUAGUAGAUUGGAUAUGACAAGUUUGUUAAAACAUUUUUUAGUAUUUAUGGUAUAUAUGUUGAUUCUCCUGUA